GUCCCUGUAGCUUAUCAAACAAAGCAUGGCACUGAAGAUGCCAAGAUGGUUGUCCCAUAAACACCCAAGGACA
rnacentral:tRNA from 13 species